CGACGAUGCGCAAUAACUUAGUCGCUCUUUCGACAACAAAGAGAUAUUAUCGGAACUGUACACGGGAGCAAUUACUUCGCGAUCAUGAAUUAGGCAGAAAUCGCAUAGCGACUCCCACGUGUCUCGUGUCUCUAGUUGCGGCGCGUCGCGGGAGGCCGCGGUUUCCUCGACCCUGAGGAGCGUCGCGACGCCUCGUGCACGUCUCAGUGCAAGAGUGCCGUUCACCAGGAGUGCGCCGUCGGAGUCUCCACUCGUUCUGCCAUUCCUCUCACCCUAUCUCUUCAAAGAGAGAAACGCGAUAGCACGAGCUUUCACUUGGGUCAACCUCGCGAGUGCGUUUUCAGAACUGUACCCACCCUCGACUCCAAGUAGCAUCAAAAAGGCAAUCGCGCUAUCAAGCUGGCACCGCAUGUCUGGAUCAAGCGCAAGCCCGGACAAGCAGAGAUAAUAACCUUCGUGGAGGGACCUUGACGUAUCACCGUCACGGUACACAUCGCGUUACAGUGAAUAUUUCAAUACAGUAUCGAUCUACCGCGUGUAAAAUACGUGUGUGUCGUGAGUGUCUGUGCUCUGCUCUCAAAUCCCGUGUCGUCGUGUUUUCUCCGUAGAAAAAACCUUCCUUUCAUCUCGCGCUAUGUAUAUUGGUACACCAUUGUACGCGCUGUCAUCCUGUCACCCUGUGAAUCCGCUUGUCACGAUAGAGUGCGUGCGUCCGUGUCACGCGUGUGAAUAUUUCAACGUAUUAUCGAUCUACGCGGAACACGUGUUCCCUUUUAAUCAACUGUGAGUUUUAUGUCGGUGUUGUCUCGCUCGUAAUGGCAUUCCGACAGCGAUGAUAGACGACCAUCUCGCCCUUGUACAUAUUAUCGCGAAGACAGCUGCUCGCUUGCUUCCUUCGUGUAAAACUUCGAAAUUUGCAUGGGAUUUGACCGACUCUUCCUUCAGUAGUCGCAGCUGUUAAUGAUUGGUCAAGAUAGUGUGACUAUCGAAAUUUCCCACACUUUAUGACAGUAAUGAUACAGCGCUUUAGUGUAAAUCCAGGGAUAAAUCUUGAUCUCGGCACUUGUUUUACUACCAAGAAAAGUUGAAUUUUCUCCACGGUACGUGACUCGAUAGUAAAACAAGAUCAGAAGAUUUUGUAGAAAUGAAAGAUAAA